rnacentral:tRNA from 1 species
AAAUAAGAAGCAAAAGUUGCAUUUAGUUUCGACCUAAAAAUUGAUAUAAAUAUCCUUAUUU